rnacentral:misc_RNA from 1 species
CCCUUAAAAAAAAAUUCCCAAAAAGUAGGAUUCAAUCAAGGUCGGAGACGUUGUCUCCAAAAAAAUGAGCAGAAUAGCAGAACAAUUGCAUCAGAAACAGGGCAGUGUUGAGGAUCUCAGGAGCCAUAUUAUUUUAGAACUUGCCAAUAAAAGAAGCACCCUGUCUGUCCUUCAAGUACCAAAAACCGUGCAACAAAAUACCCUGAAGCCUUACCAGGUACCAAACGUUGGUGCUAAUGCAAAUCUAAGGAAACAAAACCUUAAGAAAUGGAAGAGAUGGUUAACUGUCAAGAGAUGACAGUGACCAAAAAAAGUGCACUUUUUAACUUUUCUCACUCUCCUAUCAACCUCUUUCCGGUGCACCUACAACAUUUUUGUCCCUUUUUUUUAACCUUUUAUGUACAGAGACUGUAGAGUGAAAAGGCACCGAGUGCCUGCCACAUGUUCCACAUGGAAAACCCAAAAAAAAAAAAAAAAGAAAUGACCUAAACCAAAUAGUUUAAAUGAAGAAAAACUCUAUCUGCUACACACAACUGGGCAGCAGCCAUGAGAACAGGCACAGAAGGUUUCAAUUUAGAAGGCUUUGGCUCGGGCCUCCGUACAGUUCUGCAUCCAUAGCAAUUUCCUCAGGUUUCAUCUCUCUCUCUUGAAGCCAUGCAUAACUUUCUCUCUCCUCUUCAGGUACAGAAACCCCAUCAACUGAGAAAUUGCCAAAUGGAAAGUCAUAGUAGUACGUGCAAUGCCUUUCUUCAGGUUCUGAAUAUGGGGGGCCCAGCACGUCUAGAACUGCACAUGCUGUCACUGCCGAGAGACAGUGCAUGUUGCCUCCAUCAGCAGGGUAAAGGAUGGUUGGGUUGCAAGGUGCAGUGAAGUUAGAGUCUAUCUUGACCUUAGCCAGUCGCACUGGUGGUUGCUGGAUAUCAGACUGCAUCACAUCAGAAGGAUUCGCCACAGCAGACGCAUUGCAAGGGCCAUCAACCACCCAGUCAUAUGAUUUAAUGUGCAUCUUCCCAAAUAGUAGCUUGCAAAAAACAGUCAUUCCAGGAUGAUUAUGAAGGGGUAUCACACCUGAUGGCGGGAAACAGAAGAUACCCAUCGAGAAAUUGUUAGAUUCAUGGAUAUGCAGGUAUUUUAUUUUAGGGGUUCUCCCAGCAGUAAGUGCACGAAAAUGUGGCAUCUCCGGACUAAGACCAAAAUCCUCUGGCUUGACGUCAUCCAAAACCGCCCUCAGCUUUUCGAUUUUAUCAGGAGGGGCAACAAUUCCAGGGCCACCAACGGAAAAUACUUCCUCGCAGGUGUCAUACAGUUUUUGAAUCGGCGAUACCACCACCGCCUUCUUGUGGGGCCGUCGCCGGCUCUUCUUCCCUUUGGUAUUCGUAUUGGUUUUUGGAUUUGGAUACGGGUCCAGAAUUGGAUUCUUUUCUUUCUCCAAUUCACAAGACUUCUUUUCCUUCUUGUUAGCCUGACUUGUCUCAAUCCCCAUUCAGCCAAACAAUUCCUCAAAUGGGAACCCUCAAAAAAUUCCCCCGUCAACCAAAAACAAAAAAUUGCUAUAUGGGUAUCAAAGUAAAUGCGAUAAUUAAGCUCACUACCAAGUGACACAAGGUGGGUAAGGCUCAAAAUUCAGCCAAAAUAGAAGCAAAACAAAGAUGGGUGUUGCAGAAAACGCAAAAUUAUGAUAUAUCCAAAGUUUUACGUACCAAAACAGAGAAAUAAAAAAUAAAAGAAAGAAGCAAGCGUUAGAGGUAGAAGUAUGUAUGAUAGUUUUCUUUCCCCUUUUCUAGGAUAGAAUAGUACAGCACACAAGGAGGUAAAAAGAGAAGAACAGAGAUACUGAUGAUGAUGUGAAAAGAAGCAUCUCUGUUUAGUUGAUUAAGGC